rnacentral:rRNA from 1 species
AACGAACGCUGGCGGCGUGCCUAACACAUGCAAGUCGAACGAGAAAGGGGCUUCGGCUCCGAGUAAAGUGGCGCACGGGUGAGUAACACGUGGGUAACCUGCCUCUAAGAUUGGGACAACUCGUCGAAAGAUGAGCUAAUACCGAAUAAGACCACAGUUCCUGAGGGAACAGGGGUCAAAGGUAGCCUCUGCUUGCAAGCUAUCACUUAGAGAUGGGCCUGCGCACCAUAGCUAGUUGGUAGGGUAACGGCCUACCAAGGCAAAGAUGGUUAGCUGGUCUGAGAGGAUGAUCAGCCACACUGGAACUGAGACACGGUCCAGACUCCUACGGGAGCAGCAGUGGGGAAUAUUGCGCAAUGGGCG